AGAUUAGUGAAUAUUAUUGGUUAAUAGUUAAAUGAUUUUAUUUCCUUAAAUUUAAAGUUUUUAGGUGAAAUUUUAAUUUUAUUAUAAGGAGUUUUUGUUGAAGCUAUGAAAUUUAUUUUGUAAACAAGGAUUAGAUACCCUUUUAUUUUAAACGUAAAUAUGAACCUGGGUAGUAUCAGUUAUGUUCUUGAAACCCAAAGAAUUUGGCGGUAUUUUAUUCUUUUUAGAGGAACCUGUCCUGUAAUUGAUAAUCCACGAUAGAAGUCACUUAUUUUUGUUUUCAAUUUGUAUACCUCCGUCAUCAGAGUAUCCUUUUAGGGGUUAAAUAUUCUUAAUAUAAAAAAUAUUAUAUGUCAGGUCAAGGUGCAAUUUAUGAAUAAGUAGAGAUGGGUUACAAUAAAUUUAUUUAAACGGAUUAUUAUUUUUAUGGAUAGUAUGAAGGUGGAUUUAAAAGUAAAAUUAUUUUAUUUGUUGGUUUGAUUAUAGCUCUAAAAUAUGCACACAUCGCCCGUCGCUCUUAUUUUAAAAUAAGAUAAGUCGUAACAUAGUAGGUGUACCGGAAGGUGUUCCUAGAAAGGUA
rnacentral:rRNA from 1 species